UACGUAGGGGGCAAGCGUUGUCCGGAUUUAUUGGGCGUAAAGAGCGUGUAGGCGGCUUCACAGGUCCGCUGUGAAAACUCGAGGCUCAACCUCGAGAUGUCGGUGGAAACCGUGUGGCUAGAGUUCGGAAGAGGAGAGUGGAAUUCCCGGUGUAGCGGUGAAAUGCGCAGAUAUCGGGAAGAACACCCGUGGCGAAGGCGGCUCUCUGGGACGGUACUGACGCUGAGACGCGAAAGCGUGGGGAGCGAACAGG
rnacentral:rRNA from 1 species